rnacentral:lncRNA from 1 species
GGUGACAUUUCAGCAUGCUAGCUUGCAUUAUUUGAACAUUCUGGAACUCAGAGAGGAUAAGCUGUCUCCUGUUGUCCAGCAUUUUGGGGUGAUUUUCACAAAUGCAGUCUGCUGGAUACAUUUACUUCUCCUUCUCAAGAGGUCCUGAAACCAGAGCUCGGAAGCUCAGCCAUGAGUAAUAAUUUCUAUGUGGUUCCCUGUGAGAAAACAGAUACAAUCCAGAGUGCAAUUUCUGGCUGUGAUGACUCAGAGGCGAGACAGAAACUGAAGUGUUUAUCUGCAAAAUACUUCUUGGUGAUGAUUAAAGCCAUUGUGAUGAAAAGAAAGUACAUUUAUGCACUUGUAAAUCCAGGCGCUGGCUGGGACCAGUAAGUACAGCUGACUAAAGAAUGUGCCAGAUUUAAUUUCAUCCUUUUAUUCUUUGUUAUAUGACAUUCACUAAUCCACUUAACCCACCUGUACACCACAUUCUUUACCAAUUUCCUUUGAUAUUCUGACUUUUAUGAAGAAAAAGAUGGUGUAAAGAAUAACAAUGAUCAAAGAUGGAAUGUGAUUUGAAAUUAAAAUAAAACACAAAGGAAUCUUAAAUAUCGUCCUCUCUUCUUUCAUGUACUUAUCUUUAACUACAUACCCCAUCUUUGUUUCUGGCUUCUGAGAUCAUUAUUCUUAUUCUUCCAUUAAUAAAAGCAAUAACUUAUUAUAGUAGUACUCAGCCUAAGGAACACAGGAAAAAGUAC